AUUGAACGCUGGCGGCAUGCUUUACACAUGCAAGUCGAACGGUAACAGGUCUUCGGAUGCUGACGAGUGGCGAACGGGUGAGUAAUGCAUCGGAACGUGCCCAGUCGUGGGGGAUAACGCAGCGAAAGCUGCGCUAAUACCGCAUACGAUCUAUGGAUGAAAGCGGGGGACCGUAAGGCCUCGCGCGAUUGGAGCGGCCGAUGUCAGAUUAGGUAGUUGGUGGGGUAAAGGCCCACCAAGCCAACGAUCUGUAGCUGGUCUGAGAGGACGACCAGCCACACUGGGACUGAGACACGGACCAGACUCCUACGGGAGGCAGCAGUGGGGAAUUUUGGACAAUGGGCGCAAGCCUGAUCCAGCAAUGCCGCGUGCAGGAAGAAGGCCUUCGGGUUGUAAACUGCUUUUGUACGGAACGAAACGGCUCUCUCUAAUACAGAGGGCUAAUGACGGUACCGUAAGAAUAAGCACCGGCUAACUACGUGCCAGCCGCCGCAGUAACAC
rnacentral:rRNA from 1 species